UGCCGGGUGGUCUAAUGGUAGGACACGAGACUCUGGAUCUUGUUGUGGAGGUUCGAAUCCUCCCCCGGCAG
rnacentral:tRNA from 1 species